UACGAAGGGGGCAAGCGUUGUUCGGAAUCAUUGGGCGUAAAGGGCGCGUAGGCGGACCUGUAAGUCGAUUGUGAAAUCCCUGGGCUCAACCCGGGAAUUGCAGUCGAAACUGCAGGUCUUGAGUUCUCGAGAGGAUGGUGGAAUUCCUGGAGUAGUAGUGAAAUACGUAGAUAUCAGGAGGAACACCGGAGGCGAAGGCGGCCAUCUGGCGAGACACCGACGCUGAGGCGCGAAAGCAUGGGGAGCAAACAGG
rnacentral:rRNA from 1 species